ACAUUCAAAGAGUGCGUAAUAGCUCACUAGUCGAGAGGUCCUGCGCCGAAAAUGUCCGGGGCUGAAACACGACACCGAAGCUUAGGAAUCACAUAGUGAUUGGUAGAGGAGCAUUCUUAAAACCGACGAAGCUGUACCGGAAGGAGCAGUGGAGGGAUAAGAAGAGAGAAUGCCGGAAUGAGUAGCGAGAGGAAGGUGGGAAUCCUUCCGGCCGAAUAUCUAAGGUUUCCAGAGUAAAGCUGAUCUGCUCUGGGUAAGUCGGGGCCUAAGCACAGGUCGCAAGACGUAAGCGAUGGAUAACAGGUUUAGAUUCCUGUACCACGCAUUAUCAGAACUGUAGGGACGCAUGUGGAAAGCACGAGCCGGGAAUGGAAAGACCGGUACAAGCGGGGUAGGUGUACAAUAGGCAAAUCCGUUGUAUAAUCCGAAGACGUGAUGUGGAGCGAAAUAAAGUAGUGAAGCGUGUGAGCCAUGUGCCGAGAAAAGCUGCUAUUGUGUAAUGCGUGCCCGUACCGUAAACCGACACAGGUGGAUGAGGAGAGAAUCCUAAGGCCGGCGGAAGAAGCAUUGUCAAGGAACUCGGCAAAAUGACCCCGUAACUUCGGGAGAAGGGGUGCCUGCGAGAGCAGGCCGCAGAGAAUAGGCUCAAGCAACUGUUUAGCAAAAACACAGGUCUAUGCGAAACCGAAAGGUGAGGUAUAUGGGCUGACGCCUGCCCGGUGCUGGAAGGUUAAGAGGAGAGGUUAGCGCAAGCGAAGCUUUGAAUUUAAGCCCCAGUAAACGGCGGCCGUAACUAUAACGGUCCUAAGGUAGCGAAAUUCCUUGUCGGGUAAGUUCCGACCCGCACGAAAGGCGUAAUGAUUUGAGCGCUGUCUCGACAAUGCAUCCGGUGAAAUUGAAGUACCAGUGAAGAUGCUGGUUACCCGCGCCAGGACGGAAAGACCCCAUGGAGCUUUACUCCAGUUUGAUACUGGGAUUCGGUACUGCACGUACAGGAUAGGUGGGAGACUUUGAACUAUGGACGCCAGUCUGUAGGGAGUCGCUGUUGGGAUACCACCCCUGUAGUACUGGGUUUCUAACCAUCUGCCGUGACCCGGCAGUGGGACAAUGUCAGGCGGGGAGUUUGACUGGGGCGGUCGCCUCCGAAAGGGUAUCGGAGGCGCUCAAAGGUUCCCUCAGAAUGGUCGGAAACCAUUCGAAGAGUGCAAAGGCAGAAGGGAGCUUGACUGCGACACCGACG
rnacentral:rRNA from 1 species